UUGUUCCUGGAUUCUUCAGUGAUGAUGAGCAGAGUCUGAGUGAACCUGCUGUCAGACAGGUUGGCCUGAUUGACGAUGCCAUCGUCCAUCGCCGAUGGCUGAUAGACAUCACGAUGCUGCGCCGG